rnacentral:rRNA from 1 species
GACGAACGCUGGCGGCGUGCCUAACACAUGCAAGUCGAGCGAAUGAAGUUCCUUCGGGAACGGAUUUAGCGGCGGACGGGUGAGUAACACGUGGGCAACCUGCCUCAUAGAGGGGAAUAGCCUUCCGAAAGGGAGAUUAAUACCGCAUAAGAUUGUAGUACCGCAUGGUACAGCAAUUAAAGGAGUAAUCCGCUAUGAGAUGGGCCCGCGGCGCAUUAGCUAGUUGGUGAGGUAACGGCUCACCAAGGCGACGAUGCGUAGCCGACCUGAGAGGGUGAUCGGCCACAUUGGGACUGAGACACGGCCCAGACUCCUACGGGAGGCAGCAGUGGGGAAUAUUGCACAAUGGGGGAAACCCUGAUGCAGCAACGCCGCGUGAGUGAUGACGGCCUUCGGGUUGUAAAGCUCUGUCUUCAGGGACGAUAAUGACGGUACCUGAGGAGGAAGCCACGGCUAACUACGUGCCAGCCGCCGCCGUAA